rnacentral:rRNA from 1 species
UACGGAGGGUGCAAGCGUUAUCCGGAUUCACUGGGUUUAAAGGGUGCGUAGGUGGGCAGGUAAGUCAGUGGUGAAAUCUCUGGGCUUAACCCGGAAACUGCCAUUGAUACUAUCUGUCUUGAAUACCGUGGAGGUUAGCGGAAUAUGUCAUGUAGCGGUGAAAUGCUUAGAUAUGACAUAGAACAUCAAUUGCGAAGGCAGCUGGCUACACAAAUAUUGACACUGAUGCACGAAAGCGUGGGGAUCAAACAGG